rnacentral:rRNA from 1 species
AUGGCCGUGGUGUUGAGGGUGCUGGUUAUGUCCCCCCUGGCCCUAGUAAUGCUAGUGCUUCACAGAGGGAGGGUUUUGGUAUUGAUGUUGCUGUUUCAGCGUUGGAGCGUGCUGAGCAUAUCUGUGUGUUCUGAGCUGCAAAAGGUCCCAAUGACAGUUGAGCAUCUGAGCUGUAUCAGCGAUAUCCUUCCUGAAGGUCAUCAAUUUAAUUCUGAGGAACCUGUUAACUACAUUGAGAUGGAGAGAAUUUUAUUCGGUGAUAUGUGUGAUGGUGCUGCUAAUCUAGUUCAGAGCUCGGUUCGUCUGUUGAACAACAUGAAGCGUUUCAGAACUACGCAAAACUCUCGCUGCAAGCCAUAUUAA